GGGGGGGGGGGGGGGGGGGGGGGGGGGAGGGGGGGGGGGGGGCGGGGCGGGGAGCGGGGGCGGCUGACGUUGGCGGCGGACGGGGGGGUAACACGUGGCUCACCGACCGAUGAGACGGGGAUAACGUCGGGAGCCCGGAGCGCAUACCCGCACAUAUAUUACACCGCAGUGGUCAAUCGGCAAAGACGGUUCUGCGGUCCCGUAGAGAUGGAUCCGCGCCGCAUUAUCUAGUUGGUAAGGUAACGGCUUACCAAGGCGACGAUGCGUAGCCUACCUGAGAGGGUGAUGGGCCACACUGGAACUGAGACACGGUCCAGACUCCUACGGGAGGCAGCAGUAGGGAAUCGUCCGCAAUGGGCGCAAGCCUGACGGAGCAACGCCGCGUGAGUGAUGAAGGUCUUCGGAUCGUAAAACUCUGUUAUUAGGGAAGACCAAAUGUGUAAGUAACUAUGCACGUCUUGACGGUACCUACUCAGAAAGCCACGGCUAACUACGUG
rnacentral:rRNA from 1 species